rnacentral:rRNA from 1 species
GAUGAACGCUGGCGGCGUGCCUAACACAUGCAAGUCGAGCGAUUUACUUCGGUAAAGAGCGGCGGACGGGUGAGUAACGCGUGGGUAACCUGCCCUGUACACACGGAUAACAUACCGAAAGGUAUGCUAAUACGAGAUAAUAUGCUUUUAUCGCAUGGUAGAAGUAUCAAAGCGCUUGCGGUACAGGAGGGACCCGCGUCUGAUUCGCUGGUUGGUAAGGUAACGGCUUACCAAGGCAACGAUCAGGAGCCGACCUGAGGGGGUGAUCGGCCACAGUGGAACUGAGACACGGUCCAAAAGCCGACGGGAGGCAGCAGUGGGGAAUAUGGCACAGUGGGCGAGAGCCUGAUGGAGCAACGCCGCGUGAGCGAUGAAGGCCUUCGGGUCGUAAAGCUCUGUCCUCAAGGAAGAUAAUGACGGUACUUGAGGAGGAAGCCCCGGCUAACUACGUGCCAGCAGCCGCGGUAA